GACGAACGCUGGCGGCGUGCUUAACACAUGCAAGUCGAACGGAAAGGCCCUGCUUUUGUUGGUUUCUCGAGUGGCGAACGGGUGAGUAACACGUGAGUAACCUGCCCUUGACUUUGUGAUAACUUCAGGAAACUGGGGCUAAUACCGGAUAGGAUCUCCUGCUGCAUGGUGGGGGUUGGAAAGUUUCGGCGGUUGUGGAUGGACUCGCGGCUUAUCAGCUUGUUUGUGGGGUAGUGGCUUACCAAGGCUUUGACGGGUAGCCGGCCUGAGAGGGUGACCGGCCACAUUGGGACUGAGAGACGGAGCAGAAUCCUACGGGAGGCAGUAGUGGGGAAUAUUGCACAAUGGGCGGAAGCCUGAUGCAGAAACGCCGCGUGCGGGAUGACGGGUUUCGGGUUGUAAACAGAUUUCGACUGUGAUGAAGCGGGAGUGACGGUAAUGGGUAAAGAAGCACCGGCUAACUACGUG
rnacentral:rRNA from 1 species